GACGAACGCUGGCGGCGUGCCUAAUACAUGCAAGUCGAGCGAACUUGAGGGAGCUUGCUCCCAAAAGUUAGCGGCGGACGGGUGAGUAACACGUGGGCAACCUACCUAUAAGACUGGGAUAACUUCGGGAAACCGGAGCUAAUACCGGAUAAUUCUUUUCUACUCAUGUAGAAAAGCUAAAAGACGGUUUACGCUGUCACUUAUAGAUGGGCCCGCGGCGCAUUAGCUAGUUGGUGAGGUAACGGCUCACCAAGGCCACGAUGCGUAGCCGACCUGAGAGGGUGAUCGGCCACACUGGGACUGAGACACGGCCCAGACUCCUACGGGAGGCAGCAGUAGGGAAUCUUCCGCAAUGGACGAAAGUCUGACGGAGCAACGCCGCGUGAGUGAUGAAGGUUUUCGGAUCGUAAAACUCUGUUGUUAGGGAAGAACAAGUACGAGAGUAACUGCUCGUACCUUGACGGUAC
rnacentral:rRNA from 1 species